GACGAACACUGGCGGCAGGCUUAACACAUGCAAGUCGAGCGCCCCUUCGGGGGAGCGGCAGACGGGUUAGUAACGCGUGGGAACGUGCCCUUCGGUACGGAAUAGCCCCGGGAAACUGGGUGUAAUACCGUAUACGACCUCCGGGUGAAAGAUUUAUCGCCGAAGGAUCGGCCCGCGUUAGAUUAGCUAGAUGGUGGGGUAAAGGCUUACCAUGGCGACGAUCUAUAGCUGUUCUGAGAGGAAGAUCAGCAACACUGAGACUGAGACACGGCCCAG
rnacentral:rRNA from 1 species